CUCAUGCUAGAAGCGUACUGACGACAAAGUAUAUGAGUGUCACUUCAAGCUUUAACAGUGGAAUGAUGCAAGGGGAAACUUGCUAGAUGAGCUUUUAAUUUCCAUGCACUGUUAGAACUGUACUAUUUCCUGAAGUGUUAAAAAGCUGGUCAGUGAGUCAGGAAAGAACAGUUACUUUGGCAGCAACUGAAGAAGAAAUCUAAGCACUACUGUCGUGCUCUUGUGGUAUUAAAGGAGCAUUUGUGCAUUAUACAUAGCCGGACAAACAAAUUGAAGGCUUGGAAGGGUCAAUUCGGGAGGAUAAAGAUUGAAGUUGGUGAGUCCAGAUGUCAUGGCCCAGACUGAAGACGAAAAUUGAUGGAGUCAGGAAGUCAAGACCUGAUAGUCAAAGCCUCUGGAUCAGUGUGUCCAGAAGUUGGAGAUCUGAUAUCUGCGACUGCGAGACAUCAGAGCCAAUGUCUAUGAGUCUGAGAGGUCAAGACCAAGGACUCCAGAGACUUAGAGUUCAGAUCUGCUGAUGAGUCCACUUGCAUGAUGUUAACAAAAUCCAGUCUUCUGCUUCAUGAUGUACCUUGGCAGAAGUCUCAGAGAGGUAUGGGAUUGAAAGGAAGAGGAGGCACCAAGCUGGUGUGAAUUACUACGUGAAAUGCCAGAUGCAAUAAACACAGCGGGUGGUGUAAUCACCACAGGAAUGAAAGAGAAGAAGAAAAAGCCGAGAUAAUUUUUCCUGUGAUUGCAUCAGCAAUGAAGACUGAAAUGAAUCCUCAACACGUGGCUGUCAUCAUCAUUUGUCCUACCAAAAGCAGGUGGAAAGCCCGAGUAAUGUGCACCUAGUCUGAAGGGGGAACUUUCUUGAGGAUGACACCCAUGAACAAGAUAACCUCAAGGAAAUUCCCUGCAUCCUCCCAAAAAAACAAACCAUGAUGUAGAGAAUCUACAAGAAAGACAUAUUUCUGCAGAAUCUUUGACUGCUUAUAGUUUUUUUUUCAACUAAUGAAGUAUUUUGGAAGGGUAGUUAUCACUACUAUAAUUAGGAGAAAAUAGGAAUCAAGAAGUGUCCACAGCUGACAACUAAUAAUGAUUCAAAAGCCCCCAUUCUAUUAGUGGUACAAACUAAAUUCUAAUUUGUACCUUUCAGAACCACUGAAUCUGAAAUUAAAAGAGUCCUGCAGUGGCUGGAAAUUUGAAAUAAAAGUAAGUGCUCGAAACACUCAACAGAUCAGGAAACAUCUAUGGAGAGAGAAACAGAGUUAACAUUUCAUUAGCUGUAACAAGUACAUGAACUGAAAACCAUUAUAUGUCUGCGAUACAGCAUCAUUAAUGCACCAAAACACCAGAACAUCUAUUGCCCAUUCGCAAAAGACAACCAAACAAAGAACGAAAUAUAUGGUGGAGAAAGCAUUUGCCGGAGAAAGUAUGUGAGUGGGGAGGGCUUAUGAAGUGUAAGGUUGGAAUUGAUAGGUGGAAAAGGUAAAGGGCUGAAGAAGACAGAAUCUGGUCGGAGAGGAAAGUGGACCAUGCGAGAAAAAGAAAGGAGAAGGGGUACCAGAAGUAGGUGAUAGGCAGGUGAGGAGAGGAGCCAGAAUUGGGAACAGAAAAAUAGAGGAGAGGGGAGAAAUUACUGGAAGUUAGAGAAGCUGACAUUUAUGCCAUCAGAUUGGUGGCUACCCAGGUGUUGCUCCCCCAACCUGAGAGUGGCCUCAUCAUGGUAGUACAGAGGUCAUAGACUGACAUGUUGGAAUGGGAAUAGGGAUUGGAAUAAAAAUGGUUGACCACCGAGAAAUCCAGCUUUUUACGAAUGAAGCGAAAAUGCUUGACAAAAUGGUCUCGCAAUCUACUUUGGGUCUCACCAAUGUAGAGGUGGCUACACUGGGAAUACCAGAUAUAGUAGAUGACCCUGACAGACUCACAGGUGAAGUGCUACCUCAUCUGGGAGAGCCAUUUAGGACCUGUAUGGUGGUGAGGGAGGAGGUGAAUGGGCAAGUGUAGCACUUGUUCCUCUUGCAGGGAAAAGUGCGAGGAGGGAGAUCAGUGGGGAUGGACAUGUUGACAAGGGAAUCAGAGAGAACGGAGAGUGGGGUGGGGAGAGGGAGGUAAAGAUGUGUUUGGUGGUGGAAUCCUG